GGCCCAACUAGUAUAGGCACCACGUGGGCCGCUUCCCCGUUCUGGGCUAACAAGUUUCAGGUUUCCCGCUUCAGCCCAAGCAGCCCAUCUUUCUUCCUUCCUCGGAGCGAAAUCCACCGCCGCCGCCGCCGCUCCAAACUCCGGCGACGACUCCACUACAGCCGUCGCCGCGUGCUGGCCGCCUCCUCCGUCUCCGGUGUAAAUCCGCCUCCCCGCGCCCCUCCGCGUCUUCCACCUCCGAAGAUUCAGAGAAAACCAAAGCUUCAGUUCGUAAUCAGAUGAAUGCAUAAAGGGAGGCCAAAUGAUCAAAGAAAGCUGCAACCAUUCUGAGAACAAGGUAAGUUGCAACCAUUCUGAGAACAAGGUAAGUUGCAACCAGCAAUGGCCCUCCUGCCUGACAAAAGUUAAUUAAGCAGUCCAUGUUCUUGAAAUUGAUGCACAACUGCACACGGUACAAGCACUAAAGAAGUAAUGAUACACCCUUUUACAGCAAAACAUAUCUGUGGAUCAUGCGUUGAUUACUAUGACAAUAAUUUGGCUGAAGAAUUGUGUAGUAGUACAAUGCAACCAACAACAGAUGAAUAUUCAUAUCGUUCAGCAAAGUGCAUCAUAUUCCGCUGUAAAACAAACCCAACAAGGCUUCCUGACCAAACAACAAUCCCAAAGGUGGUAGCGUACAUGACAAGGGCUUGUGAAAACUGAAAAGAAACUGCCUUAGAGAUGAACGAUGGAGAAGCCAGACUCAUACUACUCUGUUAAUCACCCUUUGAGAUGAACGAUGGAGAAGCCAGACUCAUACUGCCUUAGGAGCACUUCCAGUGAACAUUUGCUGGCCCAACUCAUACUACUCUGUUAAUCACCCUUUGAUAUGCAGUGAUGCACAUGUUUAGGAUAGAUGCAAAAGUUUGUUUCUAUCUGAUAAAAUGAAGCACAUGCUCUUCAGACACAGCACAAUCCGCGUUCAUGAAUUAUUUUAAUGUGGUGUUUGUGAUUCCUUUUAUGUUCGGAGAAGGCCUGAUUACAGAAAUGAAUGGAAAUGGCUGGUGCGUAUAGGACAAAGCCUCUUCUAAAAAAUCCUGCUACUACUUUUGUCAUCUACAGAAGACAAAGAACAUGUUUUCCAGUGAACUGUACGUUUUCUUAAAUUUGAGGCUGCUCUUCGCAAUCUAAACUACUUCCUUUUCUUGAUCUUUCCUUCCUAAACUUGGUAUUGCUUUGGUUCUAAUAUUUCUACUUGCUCACUCAUAAACUCUACCAAAUUAAUUCUUCUUGGCUAGGUACACCAACAAUGCUUCAAUAAAAAAUUGGGUUUAAUAUAGUGACUGGAUUGUGAUGAUUCAGCCAGAAUGAAUAAUGUAAAGAACUAAAGACUUCAAUAUUUGCAUAAAUAAAUUCAAGAAAAAAUUCAGUAACCAAAGCAACUUGAAAAUAACCACCUAUAAAAACAGCCACCUCCGUUUAUCAAUAGGACUAUGCAAAUCAACCUUAGGCUUACCUCAGCAUUUGUACAUUAAGGAUGAUACAAUAAUGGCCUUUAAUCCUUUUUCAUGUCACCUAGUACAUCUCGUAGUGACUUGAAGGUAUCUGCAACUAUUACUAAUACAUGGAUCAACUUUGUCACCUACACAGGUAUGGAUUUAAUGAUCAUCAAUCGUCACAGUGAAGAGUCUCCAACCUUGGCAUCAAUUUUUCCCCUGGUCCAGCCCAAUAGAAGGACAAGCUGAAUCCAAGUACAAAAGAAGCUGCUGCGACCCAUAUAGCUGAUCUGAAAUCAUCCUGGGAGCCUUUCAUACUGCCUGAAGUUCUAUUUUCUUCCGUGUCUAGUAUGAUGCCUGGAUUUCCAGUUACAUUGACCAUCACCCAUUUAGGUAGCUCAGGCAAUGGUCCGGAAAGGUUAUUGUCUGAAAGGAAUAGACACAUUAAUCUUUCCAGGUUUGCAACUGAGGAUGGCACCUGACCUGACAAGUAGUUUUUUGAAAGAUCAAGACGCUCCAACUUCAGAAAGGUUCCAAUGUUUGUGGGGAUAAUUCCAAUCAACUCAUUGUUCCCCAGAUCAAUGGUGAUCAGAGACUGCAGCAAGCUGAUCGACGAUGGAAUCACACCAUUGAGCUUGUUGCCAUGCAAACCUAAGUAGCAGAGCUUCAGUGACUGAGUAGAAUUUGUGAAAGGUAGUUCUCCAGUGAAUGAGUUAUGACUCAGGUUAAGUAUUUCCAGGGCUGACAUGUCAGAAAAUGAACUUGGGAUAUCUCCACUGAGAUUGUUCUUUUGGAGCUUCAAGACUACGAGCUGCUCAAGGUUGCCCAGCCCAAUAGGUAUAUUACCCUGCACCUGGUUUGAUGACAGAUCGAUGAGUGCCAAGUUCUUGCAUCUGCUGAGCUGCCAAGGUAUAUAUCCAACCAACUUAUUGCCAUCUAACAGAAGAUUAACCAAGUCAAUGGCAUUGCCUAUUGAUUCUGGGAUGCUUCCACCGAGCAAGUUUCGACCAAGCCGAAUACUAUGGAGGCUCCGAGAAACAUUCCCAGGGAUGAACCCUUCAAGCCUAUUUGCAGUGAGGUCAAUGGUCUCCAAAGUAUCAGGUGAGAGCAGUUCAGAGGGUAUAUCACCAUUGAGCAUGUUGUAACUCAAAUCCAACAUCCUAAUGUUCCUGGUAAUUCCUUGAGGAAUUGAGCCAACAAAAUUAUUCUGAUUACCUCCAAACCGAAACAGUGUGGUGACAUUCAGCAAGCUCCGUGGAAUUUUUCCUGUCAGGUUGUUUUCUGAAAGGACCAAAAUCCUGAGUUUUGGGAAGCUCAAGAAGCCAUCUGGGACAUCACCGUGUAGAUUAUUGCGGCAGAGAUCCAACAGAGUAAGAUUUCCAUACCUGAACAAACCCAUUGGAAUAUGAUCACUGAAAUUAUUACCCGAGAGCACGAGGUCUUCCAGAGAGGUAGCGAUGCUUGUAGGGACUGGGCCUUCAAAACCAUUGGAACUAAGGUUCAAGCUUCUCAGUUUUGGCAAAUCACUCAGCUGGGUACUUAUAUUGCCAUUUAAAGAGUUGGAGGACAAAUCAAGAACCUCGAGCUUGUGAAAACCAACGAAAUCACCAAGUUGACCAGACAGCAUAUUGCUACUGAGAUCCAGCACUUGCAAUUCAGCCUUCAUGGGGCACGGAGAGAGUUGGCUUGGCAAAUCGGUGAACGAGUUUCUCGAGAGGUUAAGAGAUCGCAAGGUAUGAAGAUUGCAUAUGGACGCAAGGAUGGUGGCAUUGGAGAGGCCACAUCCGGGGAGGGAUAGCCUAGUGACAAACGCAGAGGAUGCAACUGAAGAGCAAUGAACACCACUCCAUUGGCAUGGAUUUGAGCAGGUGUUCCAGUUCUUGGUACUGCCCACCGAGCUCAGAAUAUCUCGCAUGAUGUCCUCGUGUGCCUUGUUCAGUCGCGCUGGCGAUUGUUCGGUGGACGCUGCCAUGGGCACACCAAGAAGCAAGAACAGCAGCAGUAACAGUAAGCACAGGCUUCUAUCGGGAGCAUGGUGCCGACUCAUCACCUCCAUGGCUACUCUCAGCACUUUCUCCAUCUUUCCUCCUGCAACAUAUGAAGACAGAGAAGCACAAUGUUCAACACAAAAAAUGUUCAAACUUCAGACGUUGUGUUGAAGAACGGUGACACAUGUAGGAAGGGGUCCAGCAGACUGACUGAGCACGGCCAGCAUUCGUUGUCACCGGUUCUCAUUUGUCAACCAACCCCAGAGACCAUUCAUCGUGCAGCGUCUUGACUUGCAAUGGUUUUUACUGGGCAUCAGGAUGUGGCCACAAGUCGGUGUCACAGUUGGCAAAAACACUGAAAUCGUUCGAGCAAAUGGAGCUGGUUUGCAGGAAAGAGGAAUGAGAUUUGCAACCCAAAAGAAUUAAAAUUCGACAGGGAGAUGGAUAACUACAUCAUCAAGACGCUAUGCUGUCACGAUUGACAAAAGCACGCGCACACGUAGAAAUUGUAAAAUGGUAGUAGCUGUCAUUCAGUGAUCAAACACAAUGUCGUAUGCUACAAUUGUUCUAAUUUCUAAAAUGAUUGGUACAUACUAAUCAUAUAAACAUAAAGAGAUAACUAUAGACUCAUGUUAAAUGUUUAGGAGAUUGUAUCUUUGUUGUUCAGCACAAAUUCACGAUAUAUUGUAUCAUCAUUAUGUUA